GACGAACGCUGGCGGCGUGCUUAACACAUGCAAGUCGAGCGGAGCGGCGAACGGGUGAGUAACGCGUGAGUAACUGCCCCCCUCUCUGGGAUAACAGUUGGAAACGGCUGCUAAUACCGGAUAGUGGGGGAUGACUCGCGUCAUAUAGGCUUGUUGGUGGGGUAGUGGCCUACCAAGGCGACGACGGGUAGCCGGCCUGAGAGGGGGACCAGCCACAUUGGGCUGAGAGACGGAGCAGAGUCCUACGGUGGGCAGCAGUGGGGAAUAUUGCACAAUCGGGGAACCCCUGAUGCGGCAACGCGCGGGCGGAAUGACGUCCUUCGGGUUGUAAACCGCUUUCAGCCAUGACGCGGUAGUGGCAGAAGAAGCACCGGCUAACUACGUGCCAGCAGCCGCGGUAAUUC
rnacentral:rRNA from 1 species